GAUGGUAAGAAAGUAUUCCAUCGCUCCUCUCCUCAUGAUCCCCUGUACGAGUACAAAUAUAGUAUAAAAGUAACUUGUAUAUUUUAUAGGUAAUUUCUGAUACUUAUUUGGAGGAUGGAAGGAAGAACGAAUAGCCCUAAAGGCAUGGGUAGAGUAUUCUGUCUCCCUCCCACUCAAAUUGAUCUUAGCCAUGGAUAUCUUCUUCAAAAAUUGGAUUCAUAAAAUGAAUUUGUAUUCUUUCUUUACCAUUCUCUCUGUUGUCUUCAUAAUUUUUUCCUAAAAUGAGUGUGCUUGGAUGGAAUUAGAGAGGUUGCUAAGGAGGGAGUUGACGAGAAUGGUGCUGGAUAUUCGGGUGUAGAACAUGCUCAUGAAAAGUGCACAUAAAGUGUUUGUACAAAUGCCCAAGAAAGAAAACAAGGUGUAGACAUUGUUGAAGCUGAGAGAUUCUUCACCAAACUCCUCCUAAUUGAGGCACUCCUUGAAAUGAGUAUGAAUCCAGAUGUAUGUGCUAUUUUGCACAUGUUUCUAUCUCAUAGAAGUUAUUAUUUUGGGAGGUUGGAAGAGGAAUCUCUUAGAUAUUGUUUUGUUGUUGUGGUAAGAACUAAGAACAAAACCCUUUUCUAUGGUAAUUGAUUAUAUGUUACUUAGUCUA